AAGAAAGGGGAAAGACUGGAAGGCAGAAGGAGUGAAAAAAAAAAGUCACGGAAGGAAGUAAACUGAGGACAGAGGGAAAGGUGGAAGGGAGAAAAGGGGGAGGAAAGAAGGAAGGGGGAGAAGGGGGAGGAAAGGGCAAAGGGAAGGUGGGAAGGGAGUCAGGGAGGAUCAUAGAAGAAAGGAGUUAUUGAGGAAAGAAGAAAAGAAGAAAAACUAUAACAGCUAACAAAAGAAGUCAGGAAGGGAGUGAAGUGGGCAAGGAGGAAUAGAAGAAAGCAGAAAGUCAAGAAGGCAGGGAAAUGGAACUGAAAUAAGUACAUAAAGUGAGGACAGGGCAAGGGAGGGAGGGGAAUGUGAAAGAAGGAAAGCAGGGAGGCAGGUAACACAUUUGUAGAUCCUGUACAUUAUUUUUGCAAGUUCCGUGCAAUUCGACUGUAAAUAAAUUACAGGUUGUCAUGAUCUAGGGAAAUGGAUGCUCAUCAGAAGUAAUCAUAGAAUCAUAGAAUGCAUUAGGUUGGAAGGGAACUCUAAAGGUCAUCUAGUCCAACCCCCCUGCAACAAGCAGGGACAUCUCCAACUAGGUCAGACUGCUCAGAGCCUCAUCAAGUCUGACCUUGAAUGUCUCCAGGGAUGGGGCCUCCACCACCUCUCUGGGCAGCCUAUUCCAGUGAUCUGUCACCCUCAUAUUGAAGAACUUUUUCCUAACAUCUAACCUAAAUCUACCCUUUUCUAGCUUAAAGCCAUUACCCCUUGUCCUGUCACUACAAACCCUUGUGAAUAGACCCUCCCCUGCUUUCUUGUAGGCCCCUCUCAGGUACUGGAAGGUCUUUAUAAGGUCUCUCUGGAGCCUUCUCUUCUCCAGGCUGAACAACCCCAACUCCUUCAGCCUGUCUUCACAGGAGAGCUGCUCCAGCCUUCUCAUCAUUCUUGUGUCUCUCUGCUGAACACGUUCCAACAGGUCCACAUCCUUCUUGUGCUGGGGACUCCAGAGCUGGACACAGUAUGGAGGUAGAAGGGAUAGUAGGUAGGGAAUAAAAGGAAAUGUGAUAAUCACGCUGCAUAAUCUUAUCUUCCACCAAAAUCAACUGGCUUUAGGUAGGUGGACAGGACACCUAGCCCAGAUAAGGAACAUGUAAUUUCUGUGUGAUAAAUAGCCAAAUGCCUCAUCAUACAAUUAGUGAUGUACAUCAAUGGGUGAGUAAGAUUCCCACUGUCCUUACUUAGCCAGUGAAACCAUAACCCAGAGAGCAGCCUUGGAGGAACCAGCAGGGGAAGAAGACCCUAUUGAGCAUGACUCUAGUCUGGCACUGUGAAGAGACAUCAGAAGUGUAGAAUAAAUAGGAAGCCCCACAGUAGUGUAACUCAAGACAUGGAUCAGUUGCCAGUGAAAUACUACUGGCCAUUUUCUCCACUUACAGAGCGAGGCUGGGGGGAGAGAAGGGGGAGCCCCAAAGGGCUCUUGCAGCUGAUGCCAAGUGCCUGGCACAACCUGGUCCAGGGACAGUGUCAGGUGAGGAGUUUGACUGGGGCAAUACACCUGUCAACCUGUCACACAGAUGACCAAAGGCAAGCUCAGCUAGGACAGAAACCUCCUGCAGAGCAGAAGAUCAAGGCUUAGCCUUAUUUUUCAGUACAAAUAUUGUCCAUGAAAGAGGGGCCUCACAAUCCUUCUGACUAAAAGCCUUUUGGGUUUUAAGCAGGCAUCCAGGAGACAGUGGGUGAGGAACUCCAGGCACGAGUCCCCGCAUCUCCACAGCUCAGACAUCAAGGAUGUUCUGCUUUGUCCUCCAACAACUUAGGGAAUUCAGGGUGUUCCUGGGAGGACUGUUCACACUGGGGAAGACAAGGCUGUCUGGGAAGCCUCACCACAUCUCUCCUCCUAGUGGCCCUGA
rnacentral:ncRNA from 1 species